CCUACGGGAGGCAGCAGUGGGGAAUCUUGGACAAUGGGCGCAAGCCUGAUCCAGCCAUGCCGCGUGUGUGAUGAAGGCCUUAGGGUCGUAAAGCACUUUCGCCAGAGAUGAUAAUGACAGUAUCUGGUAAAGAAACCCCGGCUAACUCCGUGCCAGCAGCCGCGGUAAUACGGAGGGGGUUAGCGUUGUUCGGAAUUACUGGGCGUAAAGCGCACGUAGGCGGAUUAGUCAGUCAGAGGUGAAAUCCCAGGGCUCAACCCUGGAACUGCCUUUGAUACUGCUAGUCUUGAGUUCGAGAGAGGUGAGUGGAAUUCCGAGUGUAGAGGUGAAAUUCGUAGAUAUUCGGAGGAACACCAGUGGCGAAGGCGGCUCACUGGCUCGAUACUGACGCUGAGGUGCGAAAGUGUGGGGAGCAAACAGGAUUAGAUACCCUGGUAGUCCACACCGUAAACGAUGAAUGCCAGUCGUCGGGUAGUAUACUAUUCGGUGACACACCUAACGGAUUAAGCAUUCCGCCUGGGGAGUACGGUCGCAAGUUCAAGG
rnacentral:rRNA from 1 species